rnacentral:rRNA from 1 species
GAGUUUGAUCAUGGCUCAGGAUGAACGCUAGCGGCGCGCCUAAUGCAUGCAAGUCGAGCGAUGAGGCACCUUUGGGUGUACAUCAGCGGCAGACGGGUGAGUAACACGUAGGUGACCUACCCCGAAGACGGGGAUAACAGGUGGAAACAUCUGCUAAUACCCGAUGGGCUCUGAGCGGAAGCGAGGAGUAAAGGCUACGGUGCUUCGGGAGGGGCCUGCGGCCUAUCAGCUAGUUGGUAGGGUAACGGCCUACCAAGGGCGAAGACGGGUAGGGGGUGUGAGAGCACGGGCCCCCCCACAAUGGGACGUGAGACACGGCCCGACU